rnacentral:tRNA from 1 species
GCAGUGGUAGCUCAGCGGCAGAGCGACGGACAGUGUUCCGGAGGUCGCCGGUUCGAAUCCGGUCCACAACC